GACGAACGCUGGCGGCGUGCUUAACACAUGCAAGUCGAACGGAAAGGCCCUGCUUUUGUGGGGUGCUCGAGUGGCGAACGGGUGAGUAACACGUGAGUAACCUGCCCUUGACUUUGGGAUAACUUCAGGAAACUGGGGCUAAUACCGGAUAGGAGCUCCUGCUGCAUGGUGGGGGUUGGAAAGUUUCGGCGGUUGGGGAUGGACUCGCGGCUUAUCAGCUUGUUGGUGGGGUAGUGGCUUACCAAGGCUUUGACGGGUAGCCGGCCUGAGAGGGUGACCGGCCACAUUGGGACUGAGAUACGGCCCAGACUCCUACGGGAGGCAGCAGUGGGGAAUAUUGCACAAUGGGCGGAAGCCUGAUGCAGCAACGCCGCGUGCGGGAUGACGGCCUUCGGGUUGUAAACCGCUUUCGCCUGUGACGAAGCGUGAGUGACGGUAAUGGGUAAAGAAGCACCGGCUAACUACGUGCCAGCAGCCGCGGUGAUACGUAGGGUGCGAGCGUUGUCCGGAUUUAUUGGGCGUAAAGGGCUCGUAGGUGGUUGAUCGCGUCGGAAGUGUAAUCUUGGGGCUUAACCCUGAGCGUGCUUUCGAUACGGGUUGACUUGAGGAAGGUAGGGGAGAAUGGAAUUCCUGGUGGAGCGGUGGAAUGCGCAGAUAUCAGGAGGAACACCAGUGGCGAAGGCGGUUCUCUGGGCCUUUCCUGACGCUGAGGAGCGAAAGCGUGGGGAGCGAACAGGCUUAGAUACCCUGGUAGUCCACGCUGUAAACGGUGGGUACUAGGUGUGGGGUCCAUUCCACGGGUUCCGUGCCGUAGCUAACGCUUUAAGUACCCCGCCUGGGGAGUACGGCCGCAAGGCUAAAACUCAAAGGAAUUGACGGGGCCCCGCACAAGCGGCGGAGCAUGCGGAUUAAUUCGAUGCAACGCGUAGAACCUUACCUGGGUUUGACAUGGAUCGGGAGCGCUCAGAGAUGGGUGUGCCUCUUUUGGGGUCGGUUCACAGGUGGUGCAUGGCUGUCGUCAGCUCGUGUCGUGAGAUGUUGGGUUAAGUCCCGCAACGAGCGCAACCCUUGUUCACUGUUGCCAGCACGUUAUGGUGGGGACUCAGUGGAGACCGCCGGGGUCAACUCGGAGGAAGGUGGGGAUGACGUCAAGUCAUCAUGCCCCUUAUGUCCAGGGCUUCACGCAUGCUACAAUGGCUGGUACAGAGAGUGGCGAGCCUGUGAGGGUGAGCGAAUCUCGGAAAGCCGGUCUCAGUUCGGAUUGGGGUCUGCAACUCGACCCCAUGAAGUCGGAGUCGCUAGUAAUCGCAGAUCAGCAACGCUGCGGUGAAUACGUUCCCGGG
rnacentral:rRNA from 1 species